CUCCACCCAGGAGCAACUUUUUUCCCUUUUGCCUCACAGAUGCUAUGCAGGACACAGCAGGCAGUUAUAACCCUUUGGAUAUUUUUCUCACUGAGAUCUAAUAUGUCUGUCCUCGAAGAAAUAAUCAUGUUUCCCACUGUUGCGGUUCUUCCUGUGGGUCUGAAAAUACUGGAGGAUUGUUUGGACUAUAUUUGCAAUGUUCAUUAAAAUAGUGCAGAGCUGUGCAGGCUCCAUGCGAUGGAGAAAGAUGGUGGACACCAAGGAGGGCUGCACAGAUAUCCUGGGCCCAGGCCAUGGAACACCUUGAAGAUAAUGACCAAGAUCUUGAACGUGAUUCAAAAUUCUAUAGCAAGCCAGUGUAAAGUGGAGGACAGGUCUUCUGUGUUUGCAGUAGCCUUUGUUGCUGAGGAGACACACUGCAGUAUUCUGUACCAGUUGGAGUUUCCUAAGCACUGAAGCCUUCAUGGCCACGUAUAUUGCAUUGCUGUAGUCCAGACAAGAGGUGAUAAAGGUAUAACUGAGGCCAUAUUUUGCAGGAUGGGAUAGCUAAUAGGAGAUGGCAGAAAGCCUUACUUACUUAUGCUAGGUGACAGCUUAGUGUCAGCAAGGAAUCCAGGAGCACUCCUAAGCUAUGGACUGAAUUGACCUGUUGUGGGUGUGUACCUUCAACUGUGCCAUGGCUGCAAACUCUUCAGAAUGCUUUCCUAUGCCCACCAGCAUAUGCUCCGUCCCGCUCAGCCUCAACCAGUUCUUCAGACAUGAACUGAUCUCCCCCAAGCCCUGGGUCAUCUUGGUAGUGGUGAGGUCAUAUGUUGUGAAGGAUAGGUAGAGCUGUGUUUCUUGUGCAUAUUGCUGGCAAUUGAGGCCAUGUCAUCUGACUAGUUCACCUAGUAGCUGCAUGGAGAUGUUGAAUAGGACCAAGGAGAGAAUUGAUCCUUUUUGGACUCCACAAGUGAUCAGUCUAGUGGCAGAGAUAUUUUCCCAUUGCUACUUGUUGGAUGCAUCCCUUCAGUAAGGACUCAAAGCACUCAGGUGAGAUAGCAGCAUCUUAUGGUCAACAGAGUCAAAUGCUUCAGAAAGGUCCAAGAGAAUAUGAAUGGAUGUCUGCCCUCUAUCCAUUGAUAGCAGAUCAUCAGUGCCACUAAAGUAGUUUCACUUCCUUGUCUUGUUCUGAAUCCAGAUUGUACUUGGUCUUGUACAAGAUGGGAUUGUAGUUGGCCUUUGGCUAGCUUCUCUUUGAGCUUGCUAAGGAACUGAAGAUUUGACAUGGGCAGUAGUUGGCUAGAACCAAUGUAUCCAUGAUGGGUUUUUUUCGUGUUGGUCAUACAAUUAUGUGUUUGAAGGAGGAAGAUAAGAUUCCUCCCUUGAAGGAGGCAUUGGCUGAUUUCAUCAUGAGUGGCACCAAUUGUCCAUGAUUCUUUCACAGACCAGGAAGGGCAUGGAUCAGAUCAAAAGUCUUGGGUUGAGACUCCUUUAGGGUUCUCUUACAGUCCAGAAUUUCAUGUUGAGUGAAUAUACUGAACUCUUGGAAUGCAUGUUAUUGAUUGGUGGAUGCAGGUGGAGUGGAUCCAGGUUGUUUGAGAAGCCUUCCCAAAUGUGCAUUUUCUUUUCAGUGAAGUAGGAUGAUAGUUCUUUGCAGCUGUUAGUAGUUGGUUCUGAUGCAGACUGUAGACACUCAGGAUUAGUGUAAUGCUUUACCACCCUGGAUAGCUCCUUGGGAUGGGAUUUGGGAGCUUCAAUGGAGGCUGAAAGGAAGAUUUUCUUGGCCUGUAAUACAGCCUCAACAUAGGCUUGGAAGAAUUCAUUGUGUUUCAUCCUGUCUGUAUCAGUUUUUGUUUCACUCUUCAUCUGGCACAGGAUAUUCUCAAUCGGUGCUUCUGGGCAGUUGUCUCUUCUCCCCACCAAUACUGUACUAAUGACUGGCUGUCCCUGACUAACUUCAAUAGUGGUUAGAGCAGAUUGAAACAGGAGGAGGGCUGUCAUCUCACCAGCCAAAGAGAAGCUGAUAUUAACCAUGACCUGCUAACCAGCUUUUAAACAUGACUUGUUCCUGGUGACAUUAGUUGCUAAGUUAUGUUUAGCAUCACAGUGGAGCAUGUUAGAAUGUUUCCUAACAUGGUAUUUUCCCAAUAUGCAUAUGGUCUAAGACAAGCUUUAUUUGUCAGUAAGGACAAUUGUGAUGGGUGAGUUAAGGACUCUAUCUUGAAGAAGGGGGAAAUCAUAGAGUUCUUAAGUGACUUAAGUAAUUCUUUGCUUGGCUACUGGAAGGUGAUAAUUCCCCUUAACACUUGCAAUUAUCUUCUGCAGCUGCAAAGCACAGAAGGCCCACAGAGUUUCCCUGGGCCAACUGCCAUAGAGACUAAUUUCAGCUGGAGCAUGCUUAUAAAUUGUUCCAUUUCUUUAUAAAUUGAUCUGAGCACAUGUCACUUGUAGCCAAGCUGGGAUACUUUAAAGCUUGACUAUAGUUCUAGAAUCUCUUCGUGAUUCUUUAAAAACACAUUAUCAUAUGGUGAAAACAAACUGUAUAUUAAUUGUCUUCUAAAGAAAGGAAAAUGAAACCUACAAGUGUGUGAAACAAUUCAAUAUUUUAAAGAAAACUGCUUUAACAGAAUAAGAUGAGAUGUUUUGAAAACAGGGCAUCUCUGUUCCCUUCACCAAAUGAAUACAAAGAGAGAGGUAAUCACUUUACUUUUAGGAAUGGCAGAUACAAAAUGUACAGUGAAACCCAGUGUGACGUUAUUGACAUAAACUGGGACCGUAUAGAUCAUUGUUG